rnacentral:lncRNA from 1 species
GGAAUUGAAAAUUAUUUGUAGGUUACAACAUUAGGCCUUGACAAAUUGGAUAUUCACAAUAGAUCCCUAAAGGACUAAAACCUAUGUUGGCAUGCCACAUAUUUGAUCUAUUAGUGAGUCAAGUAAUGUUCCUACAAUACUCAACUCCAUAAGAGUUCAUUCGCUCACCUGAGUGGUUUGACAUAUUUGUCUUCUGCUUGUCCUCUUUGCUAUGUCACCAGGGGAGGUGAGUCGUUGAGUUUUUAUAUCCCUUACAAGAAGUUAUUUACCCUAUCAUUAUCUUGAUAGAGGCUUUUCAUGGCAUGCACACUCAUUUAUCGCAAUGAAUCCUCAAGUUGUGUCUCGUUUUUGUGUCAUAUGUCUCUAGGUAAGAUUUUACCCCAUACAGAUAGUUCCUCCACCUUUUGGGAUGAUAUGUCUAAUAGUUCUCGAGAGAUAGAAAUAGAAAUGAGUACCACUACUUAGAAUGACUUAUCUUUAUUUUUUGUCACUUUAUUCAUAAAUCGCCCUUUUGCAAUUGUUGUGUUCUUUUCGAGGCACCUAAGGAUAGAUAUCUUUUUUCGUAUGUAAAUUUUGGGAUUUCCACAAAUAUUUGUUCACCUUUUCCCUUCCUUUUGUUCUAUGAAUAAUUACUUAAAUGUUUCUUCAUCAUCCUGUGUUUCAUUUUAACAUGUCUAAUUCUUUUUUGAAACCUGUCUUUCUUUCUUUGGCCACCGGUAGCAUUAUAAAGAAGGAGAAAAGAGAAAUGACUUCUUCAAGUUGUCCAUCAAUGAAUUUAUCCCCAAUCUUUACUCUUUGAUGAAGACUUCAAAUAUUUAUCUUGUAAAGAACCAAAAAGUAAUAAGAAAUUGGUGAGUGAAUUGGGCUCCCUUGUGAAGGAGGACAACCUAGUCAUCGUUCGAAGAUAUUAUGGGUCGGUUCUUGAGAAAUUACUAGUUGAAGCCCUUCAUCGAUUUGGAAGUGUUACUUUGUAGAAGCCUGGCCUCACUUUUUUCCACGCCUACCCGUGCAUUGUGGGCCUGGGAAAUUCUAGAGACAAAGUAAUCACAUUGUUUUAUAAUAACCUUUUAUGAUGCCUCGGUCCGCAUGACCCACAAGGGUGGAGAAUUAUUGUUCGUGCACCAGCCAUUCCUAUCGGCAGGGAGUUUUACCUUAAUCAUUUACUUCUCCUCUAUUCCCCACAAUUUGCUCGAGAAUGGAUAGUACAACUAUGUGGCCGCAUAAGGAGGUUCCCCCGGGCAACUUGGAUACCUCAAAGAUCGAGGUUAGGUUGAUUAUUUUGUCAUUGUGGUCCCAAAGACCCUUACAAAGUUACCUAUCUCAUAUCUUAGAGUACUUAUCGUAAGAAACCCGAGCUGGGGCAUUUAUUUUAUACAGUAUUCUUUUUUAUUAGUUAUUGUCAAUAGAUUAUCACCAAGUAAAUUUCUGCAUCAUCUCAUUGGUUCCCUCUUAGAAGAAUCACCUAUCUCCAUUUGAUUAGAGAGUUUUGCUCAUGGAUAGAGAAGGUUUUGAACAUAUCCACAAUUGCUAGUCGAUCUUAGGUGCAUAUCCAACUAGUUCGAUUGGGAAGAAAAGAACCACUGUACUUUUAACACCUUACACUUCUUACUAUUUUCUUUAGAUUGAUUUUUUUCCUUAGAACUUCUUGCAAAACUGACAUCUAGUUCUAUGAUUAUAUCAUCCUAGAUUGUUGCUACCAAUUUAAUGAGCCAAGAUACUAAAGGUUGACUUUGUGCCUUUGAUGAUGUUACGACGGACCAUGUCCUCGAGGUUAAGCCUCAAUCUAUUAAAGGGAAGAAAAGAAAAAGGCCAGACUUGUUAGUAGAAGGGGUUUGCUUUCGGGGUUAUUUCUUAAGAUAAAGGCUCUGAGGGUCUAUGGACGCAUCACCAAUCCAGAGAAUGGGUGCUCUUAUCAUAACUUGUUUCAAAUUUAUAGGUCUAUUCAAGAAGCUAGAGAAAGUUAUAAGCCCCAGUCAGAUUGCCUAAAUAAUGAAGUAGGUGUCUCUCCAUAAUUCUCCUUGGAAGUCCCUGUCGAGCAUAGAAUUUUAAAACAUAUUAUCUUAAUGCCUUUUUUGGCAUUAUCCCACUAUGGUUUAUGUAGUCCUUCAUAUCACAUCUGACUUUUCACGCUUUCUGGAUUGGGGCCUAAUGCAAUAUCAAAUGGCAGUGCUAUAUAUUCCUAGUGAAGUCAAUUUCCUGUCAAUGCCGGUAUCAUAUCUGCCAAAAAUCACCAAAGGAUGGAUGAGGCAUCUACUGAGUGUCUUAUCAAUGAGUUCUCAUGCCGCUGCUAGGUUAGUAACUUACAUACCUCGCGUCUGUUUCUUUAGAUUCAAUUUUUCUAUUUUAAUAAGAUAUUUAUUAUUUCGCUACAGGCCAGUUAGCGGCAUAAAGCCUUUCCAGAAAGACAGAGAGCUUCUUAGAGACUUUUGGCUGUCUUGAGGUUCGUUUGUCAAGGGUUACCCAAGGAGCCUCAUUUUGCUUUCAUGCUCGCUAAAGCAUUCUUCGGGAUUGCAUCCAAUCUAUCUAGUUAUGAUUUUUUACAAUCCAUCAAUCGUGCCUCUACAUCGUGAAAUUAUGUGAAGAUGUGUUGACAGGUAUUUUCCUACUAGAGAGUUACCUUCACUAAGGUCAAGAAUUUUUGGUAGCCAAAAUAGCUUGGCCACAAUCGAGGGAUGCCUUCAAGCCAUUUUGUGAUCCCUUUUAAGCUUGUUCCUUUUGUAGCUCGUAGCUUGUAGCUUUCCUCGGCUUUAUAAUUUAUAUCCUAUUAGGUUUUGUAUCUUGUAAUUUAUAACCCUUUUGGGCUUAAUUGAGGAAGGAUUUUCCACAAUUUCAU